rnacentral:rRNA from 1 species
AGAGUUUGAUCCUGGCUCAGGAUGAACGCUGGCGGCGUGCUUAACACAUGCAAGUCGAACGAUCCUUCGGGAUAGUGGCGGACGGGUGAGUAACGCGUGGGAAUCUGCCCUCAGGAGGGGGAUAACGGCUGGAAACGGCCGCUAAUACCCCAUAUGCCGAGAGGUGAAAUGAAUUUCGCCUGAGGAUGAGCCCGCGUCUGAUUAGCUAGUUGGUGGGGUAAAGGCCUACCAAGGCGACGAUCAGUAGCUGGUCUGAGAGGAUGAUCAGCCACACUGGGACUGAGACACGGCCCAGACUCCUACGGGAGGCAGCAGUGGGGAAUUUUCCGCAAUGGGCGAAAGCCUGACGGAGCAACGCCGCGUGAGGGAUGAAGGCCUCUGGGCUGUAAACCUCUUUUCUCAAGGAAGAAGAACUGACGGUACUUGAGGAAUAAGCCACGGCUAAUUCCGUGCCAGCAGCCGCGGUAAUACGGGAGUGGCAAGCGUUAUCCGGAAUUAUUGGGCGUAAAGCGUCCGCAGGCGGCCUUGUAAGUCUGUUGUUAAAGCGUGGAGCUCAACUCCAUUUAAGCAAUGGAAACUACAAGGCCGGAGUGUGGUAGGGGCAGAGGGAAUUCCCGGUGUAGCGGUGAAAUGCGUAGAUAUCGGGAAGAACACCAGUGGCGAAGGCGCUCUGCUGGGCCAUAACUGACGCUCAUGGACGAAAGCCAGGGGAGCGAAAGGGAUUAGAUACCCCUGUAGUCCUGGCCGUAAACGAUGAACACUAGGUGUCGGGGGAAUCGACCCCCUCGGUGUCGUAGCCAACGCGUUAAGUGUUCCGCCUGGGGAGUACGCACGCAAGUGUGAAACUCAAAGGAAUUGACGGGGGCCCGCACAAGCGGUGGAGUAUGUGGUUUAAUUCGAUGCAACGCGAAGAACCUUACCAGGGUUUGACAUCCUGCGAAUCCCUUGGAAACGAGGGAGUGCCUUCGGGAGCGCAGUGACAGGUGGUGCAUGGCUGUCGUCAGCUCGUGUCGUGAGAUGUUGGGUUAAGUCCCGCAACGAGCGCAACCCACGUCUUUAGUUGCCAGCAUUCAGUUGGGCACUCUAGAGAGACCGCCGGUGAUAAACCGGAGGAAGGUGUGGAUGACGUCAAGUCAUCAUGCCCCUUACAUCCUGGGCUACACACGUACUACAAUGCUACGGACAAAGGGCAGCAAGCUCGCGAGAGUUAGCAAAUCCCAUAAACCGUGGCUCAGUUCAGAUCGUAGGCUGCAACUCGCCUACGUGAAGGAGGAAUCGCUAGUAAUCGCAGGUCAGCAUACUGCGGUGAAUACGUUCCCGGGCCUUGUACACACCGCCCGUCACACCAUGGAAGUUGGCCAUGCCCGAAGUCGUUACUCCAACCCUUGUGGAGGAGGACGCCGAAGGUGGGGCUGAUGACUGGGGUGAAGUCGUAACAAGGUA